CAAAGUUGAUCGUGUUUAUGACUUAGAUAUUCGACGUCAUAAACACCAAAGUUGAUCGUGCUUAUGACGUCGAAUAUCGACGUCAUAAUCACCAAAG
rnacentral:miRNA from 1 species